GAUGAACGCUGGCGGCGUGCCUAAUACAUGCAAGUAGAGCGCACAGACGAGAAGCUUGCUUUUCUGAUAUUAGCGGCGGACGGGUGAGUAACACGUGGGUAACCUACCUUUAAGCCUGGGAUAACUUCGGGAAACCGUAGCUAAUACCGGAUAAUAUUUUGUACCGCAUGGCACAAAUGUGAAAGAGGCUAUUGCUGUACUUCAUGGAUGACUUCGCGCUGCAUAAGUUAGUUGGUAAGGUAACGGCUGACCAAGGCAACGAUGCAUAGCCGACCUGAGAGGGUGAUCGGCCACACUGGAACUGAGACACGGUCCAGACUCCUACGGGAGGCAGCAGUAGGGAAUCUUCCGCAAUGGGCGAAAGCCUGACGGAGCAACGCCGCGUGAGUGAUGAAGGUCUUCGGAUCGUAAAACUCUGUUAUUAGGGAAGAACAGAUGUGUAAGUAACAGUGCACAUCUUGACGGGACCUAAUCAGAAAGCCACGGCUAACUACGUG
rnacentral:rRNA from 1 species